GCUUAACUGAAUUUUAUAAAGCUGAUCGAUAUCUUGGUAAAAUAUUCAUUUUUAAACUAGCGGCCAGCGAAAUCUUUGCUUUGUGCUAAAGUCAACAGCCGCCCGCUUGCGGCUCCCAUAAAUGCGGGGAUGCUCCCGGCUCCCGCAGAGCGGGCGCGGCGGCGCGGGGCGCAGGUAGGUGACACCCGCAGCGCUUCCCCUUCCCCUCCUUCUUUGCGUUUGUCACCUCCGGCUGCGCUCCGCUGUCCCCCCCCCACCCCCACCCCCCAUGCCUCCCCCCCUGGCCCGAGGGGGGCGAGAGGGGCGCGGGGCCGCGGGGGGCACCGGGGGGACGGCGGCUCCGUCUCGGUUUUGGGGUGCGUUACGGACCGGUGCCGUCGCUCCCCGCCUCUCCGCGUCGCCGUGGGAGCGCGGGGCCGGGAGGAGCCGGGGCUGAGGAGGGGGAUUUGGGGUCCGAGGGGGAUUCCCGCGCGGGAGCGGGGUGGGGACGGGUCGGGGCGCGGGGUGCGGCUGGCCGCAGCCCCACAGCUCGUUGCCGAGGGCUCGAGUCGUUGUGGGGCCGUCGGAGAAGGAACGGGGCUGCGCGGUAGCCGACUCGCCGCGCCUCGCCGCUGCCCCAGGAGCCGCGCGCUUCUUCCUGCUUUUCUUUCCUUUAUUUUGUUGUUGUUUGUUUGUUUGUUUUCCUUUCCUUUUUUUGUUUCCCCCCUCUUUUUGCGCGUUAUUCCGUUGUCCUCCCCGGCUCCGCGGCGCUUUUUCGUUCCUCUCUCCGAGCGGCAUUUCUCCCGUGUCCGUGUCACGGGGAAGCGCCGCUGCCGGUACCACAGGCAGUGCCCCGUCCCCGCGUGGGCAAGAACAGGAGGGAAAAAGACCCCAUCCUCAUUUUCUCGUUGGCAACACGGUGAAAAAGAGGAAAACGAGCGUUUAACGGGGCCGGGGCUCGGCCGCUGGGCACGAACACGAGUGGCAUCGCACACGCGGGGACUCGGGAAGGAGACGUCUCUCGAGGCCCACGGAGACCGGGGGCGGGUUGUGCACGCGUGUCCCCGUCCCCGUGCCAGGUCCCUGCUUCCGACCGAGCGGGUGCCCGGCAGUGACGGGCUCUCGGGGACAGCACUCGCCAAUGACCUGCCACCGAACUCGUGUCGCCGUGCGGGGAGGGGACACGCGUGGGAACGGCCCGGGAGAGGCUCACCUCCCGGCCACGGGCAGCCCCAGCCCGGCGGGAGCGGGGCUGCACUCCGCGACCUUCCUCUACUCGUUAUUUGUAUGGUAUCGCUAUUAAUAGAUACAGGUAGAUAGAUAGAUAGCCUAUUUCUACACCCGAGCAUCCCCAGCCUCCUCCGAACCCUCCCAGCCGCAUUUCCCCUCUACCAGCCCCUCAGAAAGAGCAGCGCGUUAAGCUCCGCUUCCGCCCUUCAUUCCCACAGAUCGAUUUUUUAAUUAUUAUUAUUAUUUUAAAUUUCUAUUUUUUUUUUUUUUAUUAUUUGACUUUCGGGGAGACCGAGCGGCAUCCGACCGCCCCGAGGACGGAGCCGCGUACCCGGGCGGCAGAAGGACUCCCCACCCAAUCCGCCACCAAAGCCGGCGGCGAGCGGCCGGACCGGCAGUCACUGUCGCUGUCACCGUCGCGGCUCCUCCCGCUCCCCUGCGGGCGACUUUCCCAUCUCACGGCCGCGAUCCGAAGGCGAACUCAGCCCCGCAUCGGCUCGCCGUGUUGGCCGAUGUAUUUAUUUUUUUCCGACUUCCCCUCCGCUGCGGGGAGGGGUUGGGAGAGGGGGGGUGCGAAGGCACUUCUUUAAUUGUCCGGGCCCCUAAUGACAUGCAGAGAUGGCUCAAAGGCAGCGGACAUCAAAGCGCAAGGGAAUGGCACGUCGGGCAGGAGAGCCGCGCUGCCCCGCUUGCCAAAGGGACGUCUCCUGCCCCGAACCGCCCCGAAGGUUUCUGCUGCCGAGCGGUGCGGGCAGGCGGCCCCGGCAGGAUUGUAUGCAAAAGCGGUCGGUGGGGAUCCUAAAAAAACCGGACAGCUCAGGGUGAGAUGAGUCUAAUUAUUGCUGGUUCUAAAAAGAGCUGGAACACCCAAGUAGGGCUUAACUCGUCUCCUGGGAAACUGAUGGAGACCUAUUUUACAAGCUGUAAUUCUGCUUUAGACUAUUGCAGGCUAAAGGCAGUUGACACUAUCCUCUUUCUUCUAGAAAUAGUCCUAAUCCUAUAUUUCGGCCGGGGAAAGUCCGCUUCUGCUCCACACUAGAUUAAUCCAGAAACCACAUAAAACCAGGUAGGGAAGAGGAUGGAAAAGGGGAGGAGGAAAAUCGUUCAAAAGUUUGUUACCUCUGCCCUGCCUAACCUUCAAAAGAGUAAAUAGCGAAGGAUGAUGCAGAGUCUGCCGGCUCCUUAUUUACGGGACAGCUAAAAACGGGGCUUUGGGUGUCGGCGGGAGCGGAUUGGGGUUUAUUUUUUUGCUCUCUCGCUGCGGUCGUCUCUCAGCGAAAUAUUUCCCCUCUCUGACGGAACCCGGGGGAGGGGGGGUGGCUCUGGGCGAGAGGAAUCUCUUCCCUAUUUCUUUUUAAUGGGGGAAGGAUAAAAAUAAGCAAGAAAAAAUAAUAAAAUAGAGUGCCCCGAGUUUUCCCGCAGCCCCGGCCGGGCCGAUGGGUUUGAUGUUUAUUUCCUAUUAAAUCGCAACGCGUGGAAACUGCGACGGUUCUGAGACGGGGAGGGCCAGGAGAAUGGGGUGGUUUCCCCCCAGGGUGGGGGAUAUGGAGAACCAAGGGGGGACGCGACGCCCAGAGAGGCACAGAACCCGGCCCUAAGUGAAAGGGCGGCAGGCGCAGGGAUGCGAAUCGGGACGGGAGGAUGGAGAAGAACCGCGGCCAGCGUGGGGUGCGGCUCCGGGGUGGUGGAUGGAUGGAGAGGUGGACGGAAGGACGGAAGGAUGGAUGGAGGAUUGGAACGAGGGGUGGGUGUUACGUUUGCAGGUGCAGCUGGGUGUGAAAUUGAAUUAACAACAACAACAACAAAGUUAUAUAUAUGAGACGGUGGGGGGGGGUCCUGGAGGUCCCGCGCCGCCCCAGCCCGGCUGGCCGCUCUCCCACGCGUGCCCGAGGCAGGAGUGUGGGCCGGGGGCUGCUGCCCGCCUGGGGCAGCGCGGGGCAGCGAACGGGGCGGGCAGCGCUUCUGUCACUGGGAAUGCUUUUCCCUUUUCUUUUUCAUGCUUUCCUUUUCUGUCUCUCUUAUCAUCUGUUGUUCUUUUAUUUCUUCCUUGCCCCUCCCCUCUUUUCUCCCCUUUAUUUUCCUUUCUUUCAUUUUCUUUUCCUUUCUUUCUCUCUCCUUUUUUCCUCCAUUUCUUCGCCACGCUUUUCCUUUCAUUCCCUCUUUCCUUUCCCCUCCCCCCCUUUUUUUCCUCCAUUCCUUCCAUUUCUCACUCCUUUCCUAUUUAUUCUUUAUUUUCCCCCCUUCCCCCCAACUUUUUCCCCUUUCCCCUCUUCUCCCUCCCCUUUUUCCCUCCCCAUUUUUUACCCUUCCACCCCCAGCUCUGACCUCCCCCCGUGCCGGACAGGGCAGGGACCGGGCGGAGCAGCCGGGCGAGGCCGGCAACUUGCAGCACGGGGGAUCAGUGUCAAGGACGGAUGGGGCCAACCUCUGAGCUGUGCUGAGCGUGCUGCUGCCGUGUGUGCAUCCCCUAUGAAACCCCAGAUCCCCAUCUCUGAUUGCCUCUUUGUGUCUGUACUUGUGUGCAAUACCUGCGUUACGCUUCAGUAGACUCGGGAGCGGACAGAAGUGCUAUCUCUGCCUCGAGGAUAUUUGAGAAGAUGCUUCUCCGGGAUGGAUCCUUUUAGGAAAAAAUAAAUCGUUAAAACACUCCGGGAAAGCUGAAGAAUGAAUGAAUUUGUGGAGCUUUCUGAGGGAUGCACAUCCGUGCCAUCCUAAGGGUGAACACUCAUCCCACCCUGCAGGACCCCAGCAAUUGCCAUCCAGCACUGAGCCAUGCUACGGCGCUCUGGUCCUCCAGCACAUCCCUCCCUUUGCUGUUGCUCUGCACUACUGCAAAAUUACAGACUGGAGAUGGGGGGCUGAAAGCAGCAGCUCUGCUUCAGGGUGGCAGUGGGACGGGGCAGAAGGUGAGGCUGAUACUGCAAGAGGUUGCCAGGACUUUCUGUUCCCUCCGGGUCCAAUCUGAGGCGUCAUUAGCAAACUAAUAAACUGGCUGCAGAUGUUGAGCCAACAGCAGGCACGUUCCUCAGGAGCAUCCCUGCUAACUCUUGGCUUUGGGAAGCAAUCAGCUCAUCCCUGUGUUUCUCUUUGUGCCCACUCUCUGCCCCACUUCUUCCCUCCUGCCUGGAAUUUUAGGAGAAAAGAAGAAAAAAUAGAAACAGGAAACAAAGCGGGAGCUUCCUCAAAUCAAUUUUUUCAAGUUGAUUUAUUUUCUUUAUAUUGCAGUGGAUGGAGCUCUGUGGCCUUACUGUUUCUCUCGGAAAAUAGAAGUAUUUGUGCCAGUCACAGCAGUGCCAGCACAGAGGUGGCUCUGGCAAUUGGCAAACACCAAUGCCAUACCCAUACCCCGCUGACCCCACCAGAUCCCUCGUGGCCGAAUGGUGUGGGUACGGCAGUAGCGAUGCUGGAGGAGGCAGGCGCUGCCCUGCAUGGGGCCGGAUCUGGGUCCUUGGGGGCAGGAAUACACCAGGGCUGGAGUUUCAUGGGGAAUAGGAAUCCGCCGUGCCCAGGUGGGGCUGCGGCUUCUAAAGUGCCUCUUAAGCUUUCCUGUAUCCUGCUAGCGAGGGAAAAAACUCACAAGGGGAUCCUGCCUGUUCACCUAGCCCUGAAGGGAGAAAAGAGAGGGAUCCCCGAGGCUGGGAGGGCUGCUCUACCCCAAAGCCCAUCUCCAGGCAGGGGGCCGAGGGAGAGGCAUCCUGCUCGCUUCUUUCUGCCUCUAGCUCUGCUUUUUGUGCUGCCCCAGGUAGCGGCCCCAGCGCAUCCCCUGCCGCGGCAGCGCUGUGCUGCACGGAGCAGCACAUUUCCCCCGAGUUACUUAUUAACCACCGUUCGUUUGACAGGAUCGAUAUUUCAAGCUAGGGAGUAAACACUUAAGAAGUAAUGCUCCUCUCUGCUCUCUUUUUCCUCGGCAAAAUGAUUUAUUUUAUAAAAUGCAUCUGCCUGGCAGGGAGGCUGGAGCCCCGUGGCUUUUAUCCGCGGGAUAUGCAAAGCGCAUUUAUUUCGUCUUUUAUCUCUCAUAUUGCGCGUUGAUCCCAUACAUAUAGAUUGAUUUUGUUCAGGUAGAUAAUGAAAAGUCAAGUGGAAAAUUUACACAAAGGCACUCAGGAUCUCCACUUUCUAUUGGUAUAUAAAUUGGUUUAUUACUUCAUUCCCUUAAACAGCGACUUUCACGCUGGGGAACACUUUAAAAUAUAUCAUGUUUAAACACAGAACCAUUUACCUUCCGUGUGGUUUCUCUCUUUCCAUCGGUAAUUUCCUCGCCACUUUUGCUAAUUACCGAAGAUAUUUGUGUUUAAACAAGGGCCCCACCAGCAGCAAUCCGUCUCCCUCCUCCUCCUGCUCCCAGCAUCAAACCACCCCAACCAGAGCUCCCGGCGCUGGGCACGGGGAUGGUGACAAAGCCUGGCAGCGGGCUCUAAUUCCCCGUAAGCAGCUUUGGCUUCGCCACCCCAAGGCAGUGAAUGGAGGGCACUGGACGGGAGAGCGCAGCUCGGAACAAAACCGGCAGGAAACGUUAUUAAUAAACAUCUUCUGGACAUUUGGUGGCUCAUCUAGGCUGCUCCAGCUUAAAGCAAUUAAUUCAGGAUACUGACAUAAACUCUCCAGCUCUUUGACAGCUUGGAGCUGAAAUAAAAAUGCUAGUUCUCCAGGGAAAAGGAGAGGAUAGUUGGCUCUUUUCUGGACUGUUUGCUUAUAGGCCCAGAGAGCAAUCUUCCUUGCAGAAUGAAAUGCAAGGACACAAACAAUGUACCGGAGAGAGAAUAGAAGAUGGGAAUGAACAGUUUGAACUAUUUGCUCAGCAGAAGGGCAGCCACAAUGCUCAACCAAUGGCUUUCCCAUGCAUCAACCGGGCUUCUUAGGCCCUUUUGUUGUUCAUCCUCUUCCUCUGACCAGAUAAGAGCACAGCUGCACGGCCGUCGACUUAGCCACGCAAAUCUGGUGCCGCGCGGAGCCGCGUCCCUGCGGAGCUCGAGGACAAGGUGACACCGGGCAGCGGCACAUCCAGCAACCCCCGCAUUCAGUGCCACCUCCCCACAGCCAGGCUGCUGACCCCUGCCCUCCCCUUGCCCCCUUCCUGCCUCCGUUGCCCAUUGCCCAGGUGGUGCUAUGCUGCUCCGACCCAAACGCCAGCUCCAACCGUGAUGCUACACCGCUUCGUGCCGCCCCAGGCUGGGAUUCGGUGAGCAAGGCUGGAACAAGGUUUGUUUAGCUUGAAAGGGUUUGACGAGGUGAAAAGGCAAAGCGCCGAGGACUAAAGAAAACGCCUGCCUGGCUGAGAUCACACGGAGCACUCGUCGUCAAAGAGCACACCUGCAGGAAGCACCGAGUUUAAACACUGCUGUCACAAAAACCUGAGAAACCUCCGGGUAUUUCAUUGUGGGCUUUUUUUUUUGUCUCUUUUCCCCCUUCUCCCCUACUGGGUGGUCAGGAGAGCAGGAGGGCUCCCAUUGUCUGCAGAGCUGACCCCACGUGUCCCUGCCAUGCCAGCACCUGGCCGACACCGCAACGCCCCAAUCCAGCCCCAAUCUCCAGCCCAGCGCCCGGCAUUGGGCUGCUUAAUGAGACCCUAACGAGGUGCUCAGCCUUCAUUUCCAAAACGCUGCGACGCAGACAAAGGGAAAGUGCAGUCAGCUCCGAGUAAUUUGUGCCGCGCUCCCGGCGAAUGAAUUUAGGGGAGCAAAUAUCGUUAUGCGGGAUUUAAAUUAAAGUUGACACUAAUGUAAAUACGGCAAUGCAACCGGCUGUUUAAGAAGUGUGAUGAGGGUACAGUUUUAAUCAGGUCCUUUUAACUCAGGUGGCAUUUUAAAUCCUCGCCGGUUCAUUUGGAUAACAGUCCCAGAGGAUGUCCUGGAGUGGGAUGGUGAGGGAUGGUUGUCCCGGGAGCUCACCUGGUGAGCAGUGAAUGCAGUGUUGGACGCUGCAGAUGGAUGGACCCCCCCUGCCAAGGGCUGGGUAACAAAGGCAGAGGCGGCAGCUAAAAGGGUUGGUAAUAAAUUCUUGCGGGGUCGGUCAGCGCCUGCCAGAUUUCCCCUGGCGCUCUUGAACAAUCUGCUUCCAGCCUAAAUCAUAGAGCUGAGGCUUGGGGGAAAAAGGGAAAAAAGAAAAAAAAAAAAAAAGAGGAAAGAGCGGAGACCGCCUCACCUACUUCAAAGCCUGAACAGCGCAGAGGUGCUUCACAAUAACAAUAGCACUGGCUGCAGCCUGGAGGAGCUCCAUAACAGGAGCUCUGUAACCUGGCAAGACUCAGAGUUACGGUUACCAGAACAAUAUUUGGCAAGGGAAUUCUCCUGGUUCAUUUUUGUCAAAGGGAACAUAACGCCACUGGCAGGGAUAUGGUGCCAGCACGGCGCUGCGUUGGGUUCAGGCUGCAGUAGUGCCUGGCUUUUCUGGGCAGAGGGUUCAAUACCUAAUAGUAAUAAUAGUAAUAAUAAUCAUAUCACCAACAUCCACUCUGGGGAAGAAAGAAACCUUCUCUUGAGGUUUUCAGACAGCUGGCUGCCUCCAUGCCAUGCGUGCAGGAUGCCCGUGCUGAGCUCAUGUGAAGUUGAGGGUUAAGGUGGGGGGUAGGGUCAGGGCCCCACGUUAACCCAGAGUUUCUCUGGCUCCCGGCCCCACUCGGAGCUGCAGAGCCCUGCCGGUCCCUGCAGGGUAUUGCAUCUUCUCGGAGCUGUCCUAAUCCCCCCGUGUGACUCAGCGCUGUUAAAAUACCAAUGAGAAUAAUAAAAUGGGUUAUAAUGCUAUUAGGUAUUCCCCUUAGCUAUCCUGGCUACCCAAGGAGGAUGGAGUGGGAUGGGGAAGGGAGAGAGGAUGCAAUGGGCAUGGGCAAGGGAGGAUCCUGCAGCUGUCCAUUGGGCUGGAGCUAGGAUUUGGGGGAAGGAAGUGGCUUCUUGCCCGGGUUUUGUUCUGUGGAGGAUCCCCAGGUGGGGUGAUCCUACCCGCAGCCCCCCCCCCCCCCACCAGCCCCUGCCCUUUGCACAGAUGCCUAUGUCCACAAACCCCCCCUAAGCACUUAAUGAGCUCCGAGACGCCUAUUGUCUUGGCAAAGCUGAUUGAAACGGGCGAGGAGUUCAAGGGUUAGGAAGGGAGGGCUGUGUGGAGGCAGACACCCGGUGACACCAGGCUGCCCAGCCAGCAAAUGGGCUCUGCAGCAGCAUGGCACACACUGUGUCCAACACCCAUCACAUGCCAACAUACUGCUGGGUGCUGAGCCCAGACUGUGCGGCAGCUUAUCUGCCUUUAGCACAAAGCUGGGACGAAGUCUGCAUUGCCCAACGCAGAGCUGGAGUGGGCCUUGGACCCAGCCCUGUGUCAGCAGACCUCCCGGCCCUGCUCUGCUCGCUGACAGCCAGUGUUUUUUUACUCCUUGAGACUGUCAGGAAUGUUUUUCAUGCAGGAGUGUAGUGCAUUCAGCAUACUGAAACCGCCUUAAUCUCAGCAAGACCAACAAAGAUAAGGAAUAGCGUUUAAGUUGGCCGAAAUUAGCAAAUGCAUCUGCUGCACAAUGCCCCUGUUACCAUUAGCUGUGACCGGUGAAUGGCACUAGCAAAGUAUGCUGGCAAUGUUUAACAAACCAUCCGUCUUUUACCUGUUCCUACUCAACAGAAACCUUUGUUUGAACCACGGGCCUAUUCAGUCCUGCUGCUGUCUGCUUAUCAGCAAGAUUAAUCUCCGAGGAAGGCUUCCUUUUUGGCUGGCUUCAACUCUGCAUAGGAUGCUCGCAGCAAAUUGACUGCCGUGAUGAAGAAGGAAAAAUAUUUAAACAAGCAAUUAUGAAUGAGCUUUGCUUGCUAACUCAGAAAGCAGUUUCCUAAGUUUAUAUAGAAAUGUAAGAGAUCUACCUUCCAGGUCCAAUCACAGCCUCAGGAGUUCUCCUCUUAGAUUAGAGCUUUGUGGCCAGCAUGAGCUAAAAGAGACUAAAGGGACUAAUCCUGGCCUAUCUCUGUGUGCAAACCGGGGUCGAACCUUCUCCCGCUUCCCCUUCUGCCUCUCUGUCCAGUGUGAGUUUUACGGAGCAGGAUUUUCCUCACCUGGCACUGUGGGGGCCCGAGCCAGUGGUGGGGUGACCUUGGCCAUUUCUCCAGAUGUGGCUCUGUCGCAUGAUACUACGGUUCCGGGCUCCCUAUACGUCCUUGAGAGCGUUAUCUGGGUGAGUCACCACUAGCCGGCCUCUGAAAUCUGUGACAUUUUUGGCAGUUCCCUCUUUAAUCUAAGAGGAGUAUGGAGCCAAGUGGCUCAGUCACCAUAUCUCAGCAAAAGGAGACUGAAAAGCUUAGGGCUGAAUUCAGGUUGGCUGAUAGGAACAGUUUAUUUCCUGAAAGAGCGGUGAGGCAGUGGCACAGCUGCCCAGGGAGUGGUGGGGUCACCGUCCCUGGAGGCAUCCCAAAGCUGUGGGGAUGUGGCACUGCAGGACGUGGUCAGUGGGCACGGUGGGGGUGAGCUGUGGUUGGACUCGGUUAUCUUUUCCACCUUCAUGAUUCUAUGACUCUAUGAUGGUUCUAUGAAUAGCUCAUUAAUUUCACGCUGCACACACUUCCAACCCAGAGGGAUGCUGAAGGAAGCCCAGGUUUGUGCAACCUUCUGCGAUGCCUGGCUGCACCUCCCUGCUGUGCUGGCAGCAUCGGCAGCUCCAGCCAUGUUUUCCUCCCCACACUACAUGAACACAGACAGGAGGUCCCCUCGGUGAGCUCACUGAUGCAAUUCUGUCAGCAUCCAACCCCGGCGAGGAGGAGUGAAAUGUGCUGUCAGUCUCUGCCCGAGUCAAGGGAAAGGUUCAAGCACCUUGAAGUUUGACUGUGAUUCUCGUUGAAGCCAGCACAAAUCAUCUUUGCACAGCAGCUUUAUGGAGGCCUGCUGACCUGCCUGGCCUUUACGCUGAGGGAUAGGUUUUUCUACUCAGUGCUGGCACAAACAACUGCAUUUAUUGGCCAAGCCAGACAACAGAAUAGCAGUGCCUUGCUGCUCUUAGGGAGGACGAGCAUUCUCAGUCUCCUUUGUAAUCAUGCCUUCAUACAACUGGUUCCCAAGCAGUGCAUCUAGAGUCAUAGAACCAUGGACACAUAGAAUCAUAGAAUCGUGGCAUCAUAGGAUCAUAGUAACAUAGACCCCUGGAAUCAUGGAAUCAUAGAUCCACAGAAUCAUAGACCCACAGAAUCAUAGACCCCUAGAAUCAUGGAUUCAUAGACCCCUAGAAUCAUAGAAUCAUAGAACCGUAGAAUCAUAGAAUCAUGGAAUCGUAGAACCAUAGGCUCACAGACCCAUAGAAUCAUGGAAUCAGAACCAUAGAACCAAAGAAUCAUAGAAUUGUUGGAGUUGGAAGAAACCUUCAAAGGUCACCUAGUCUAAUUCCCCUGCAAUGAACAGGGAAACCUGGGUGCAUCAGGGCAAACAAACUGGGAGAAGAAGCACGAUGCAGAAAACACGCUGCUGGCAGCCAGGACUGGGGGCGAGUAGUGCAGCCUGCAUUCCUCCCCGCACAUACAUUAUUCACUGGGGAUUAUUUGCUCAACCCCGAAGUGCGCGCACGCAUUGACAGCUGCUCGUGGAUACAAAGCAUUGCAUUGAGAUGCCCAAUAUGGAGCACAGGGCUUGGAUCUGGAGCUGGGAGCCCUGGGUUUUGUCUACAGGAGGGGAUAAAAGUGCCUGAACUGGGAUCUCCUGAGCAUGCGCUGCACCCAUGGGUGUUGCUCGGGUGUGCACACAGGGAUGCCUAUGUGCAUAUAUGCAGGGAUGCAUUCAGACAUGGAAGCAGGGACAUGCACACACAUAUAGACAGGGAUAUAUAUGCGUGUAGCUGUGGUUGAGGGCAAGUGGGACGAAAUCUUCAGGCGGGCCAUGAAACAGGGAGGCGUGAGCCAGGGCGCUCAUUAGUACCUGGGUAUGACUGCCGCUGACCUGAUGGCAAAUAUGAAAUAUCAAAGCGCUUGUCAGCACUCCUGAAUGGGACAAAGAAAAGGCGCAUUAAUGAUUAACUCCGUUAAAAGCUCAGGCUUUUUUAUUCCCAUGGCGCUCGGACUAUCUCGCUGCCAUGUGACAUGCUAGGGCCAUUUUCUAGCAGAUUGGGGAAAGCUAGUGAGCAAACACAGGUGCUUUAGAGUCAGCAGCGCUGUCAGGGACAACCACAAACAACACCAGCUAUGCCUGCCUAAAUUAGCUCCUGUGUUUGCCUCCAUUUUUGCUUCCUGGAGAUUUUACUUUCUAAGUCCAAUGUCUUUCGCUCCCGUCUUCAACUAUUCACACGCAGUGUUAAAGGGGAGAAAGAAAAGAGAAGAAAAGCGAAAACACACAGAGAGGCUCCUCUUUGAACCAGCCACAGUGCGUGGGGACCGCAUGCAGAAAGGCCCGAGUCAACUAAUUAAAAGGACUCAGCUCUUUAACUGCAAAAACAAAACACGUUUGUUGUGCUCAAGUGGAAUUAUUCGGGUGAUCCUCGGCAAACAACGAGCCCUGCAUGCAUGCGGUGCUGCUGCUUGCAAGCUCCAUGCCGACACCGCGGGUCCCAUCGGUGCCACUCGUGGAGGCUGUGUGUGACCUCUCCUCCACCGUGGUUCAGUGUGAAGGUCCCUCUAGCGGUAUUAUUUGUUUUCAUUUUUCCCUCCUUCCAUAGCCUGAAUGAGACAGACUUUCUUUUCCUGUUCAAAUAUUUAUAUAUGUGUGUUAUUGGGUUGUGCUCAAACUCCUUGCAAUCACACCGGGGCAAUAAAGAACAGACUAUCAGCGUGCGGUGAUAAAGGUAGUUGUGAGUAAACAGCAGAAAAUGAAAUAAAGUUAUAAAGAAGAAGGCCUGGGAUGGUAUAAAUGUCUACAAAUAAUCACAAUAUCAACCUGCUCAGUAUUCAAGCAAUUAAGGACAACAGGAGCAAAGCUGUGCUGGAGCUGUUCUGAAUUUACGUAGUCCCUGGUCCUCACAAAGUGAGCUCUGCAAGCAGUGGGAGAUUCUGGAGUUUGAAAUCAGCAUCUGGAUCUUGAACCAAGGACAUCCAUUGCAGAUGCAGUGUGCUUCACUUGGGGGGGGGGAUUAAAAUCUGUGUGUUUAGCGAGAUUACGCUUGAACUGGUCCCAAUUUAUUUUGCCAAAUUGAGCUGCAGCCAAUUUCUCUCCCAUGCGAUGAUGAAUAAAUAUCAUUAAAUAGGAGAAGAUGAAGGCGAUUGAUGCCCUUGUAUUAGCGGGAACUAACAUCGUGUGCUCGAGAAUGAAAGGACAAAAAUGGAGAGAUUUGGAUGCAAAUCAUUCAAAUGAGGAGGAUUAAGCAUGAGGGUACGAGGGAGAAUGGGGUCCAGAACACCAAAUGCUCAGAAGUGCAGGGAACUGCUCAGGAUUCAUUUCCCUUUGACCCAUUACUUUUGGUUUACAGGGAGCAAAAAUUCUUCCCUGUGCAGAAUGGUUUGAUUCGAGGCUGUUCUAGCAUAGGGCUGUCACUUGGAUCGUUUAUUAAACCGUCUUAAUGAUCACUUACUAAGAAAGCACACAGGUUGAUAUUUCCUACUAUGACACAGUCAUGGAAUCACGCAGGUUGGAAAAGACCACAAGGAUCCCCAAGUCCAACCAUCAACCCGUCCACACUGCACCCACUAUCCAACUAACCACGUCCCUCAGUGCCACGCUACGAUUCCCCCUUUUCCUGCAGUCACAAAGGAUCAUGCAUGGGGUUUUGCAGCAUGUGAAGGUUGGGGUCUGCACCCAGGGAAGUCAACCCUUGGUUCUUCAAGGCAGCAGUGUGGCUGCCCUGGCUGCCUUUUGUUUGCCAUCCCAUCCCAGCGCCAUUGGGUGUGCUUGCAGAUGGGCCCAGUUGGCUUUUUGCUGCCCUAUAAAACAGGAGGGAAAAAAAAAAUAAAAAAAAAAAGGAAGUGAUACUGUUGCAAUCAGCCCAGUGUGUGAUAAAGAUUUAUUACAGGGAGAAAGCAAAUAAAGGUAUGGUAGGAACUUCUUUAUUACCCGUAUCGUGAUCGCUUAUGUGAUCAGUGACCUGGAAUACAUUCAAAUUCAUGUUAAAUAAAAGCCUAAUAGAAUUUUUUUUUUUCCCCUGCAUUCUGGUGACAUGUGGUCAGCAGGAAGAGCAGCCAAUCGCUGUGUUUACCCACUUCCUGCUUUUCUGGAAAGUCAACAGUUUUUAAAGGCUUAGGCUGGCGUGGAAUUAAGAAACUUGCGCCGGUUUAACUAAGGUCGUUGGCGGACAAACGGGACGCAGGGGUGGCUUUGUGGAAGGGUUUUCCGUGCCAAGUUUGGCCUGUCCUGGGUUGUCUGCUGGGAGGAGGAGGAAGAAAAGGAGGAGAAGGAGGCCGGAGCCAGGGAUAGGUGUAGAGGUUGGUCCUGGUCGUGGCACCUUGGGGAGGCACCAAGUGGCUGGGGUCUUAUCAGCCCAACCUUGGAGAGCUUUCUUCUUCCAGUGGCUCAUCCAUCACUAGUUAACAGGGUACCCCUGUAAGGCUGCCUCUCUUUGUGCUGUAUCUUUAACCUCCCGCCAGUCAAUACCCUUUGUACACAUGUAUCUCGUUUCCUGAUAAUGCAUUGUAUUCCUUCGACCACCAAAAGCACUGGUGGGGUGGGAGAAACAGUUGUCUUAGAUAAAGAGCAAUUAGCACCUCCAGGGUCAGCCUGGAAUAUAUUGUUAAAGAAAAUGGGCCUGGAGGGAGGCUGGUGGAAUUCCUCCUGGCUGGAGAGAAUCAAAAAGGCUCCAGGUAAUUCCAAAGGAGCCUUUCUGGUGGGUGGUUGAUGUGGCCGUGCACCUCUAGCACCACACAAACCAGUUUCCUCAGGUCUCUGGGAAGAGCCAUGCAUCUUCAUUUAUAUGUUAAUUUGCAUUAAAUAAAUGUCACCAUAAACAAAUUGUAUCUCAGGAGAAGGUGGAAAACAUAUGGGUGUUUGCCAGCCAGGGGUUAUUAAUUUUAUACUUUCCAUCUGGAGUCUAUAAAGGGUCCAUUCGGAGAGCCAAUAAAGACCCAAGGUCGCGGCUGCAGCGCCACGGAAACCUUGCAGCUGGAGCACCUGCAGGCAUCUGCUGUUGUGGUGAAGGUGGCAGGGAGGGCCACAGCAAGAUGGGGACACUCCAUCGGUCCGGGAUAUCUCAGCAUGUAAAUGUCUAUGAAAAUCUGUUACUAGGAGGGCUUGUGCUCCUAAGUCAUUUGGGCAAGAUGGAGAAGUCAGCCCUGAACUCAAAGCAGAGCUCUGAUGUUUUGAUUGAUUUAUUUAUUCAUAUAUAUUUCUUUUUGCAGAAAGCUUCUUUACUUGUUGCUAGAUUAAGGGAAAGCUAAUUUAGUGCUAAUUUAGUGCUGCUGUGAAGAACAUUUUGGGGGAAAAGUUGCUGCGAAUUCAACACAAGUUGCCCCUGCUGUUCCUGUCUGGCCUUCCCAGAGCCUGUAAAAUGGGAAAAGGAUUUAAAUACCGGUUUUCCUUUUGUAAUUGGAAUAAAGUGGGUCUGAAAGUGAAUGGGACAACAGGGUGCAAAGUCCCUGCUCCCCAGCACUCAGGUUCUGGAUGGA
ensembl:lncRNA